rnacentral:tRNA from 1 species
GGCCUCGUAGCUCAUUUGGUAUAGCGUGCGCUCUACAAAAGCGUUGUCAGCGUCCCCGAGUGGGUUUGAAUCCCACCGAGGCUA